AUACGGAGGGUGCAAGCGUUAUCCGGAUUUAUUGGGUUUAAAGGGUCCGCAGGCGGAUUAAUAAGUCAGUGGUGAAAUCCUCUCGCUCAACGAGAGAACUGCCAUUGAAACUGUUAGUCUUGAAUUCGGUCGAAGUAGGCGGAAUGUGUCAUGUAGCGGUGAAAUGCAUAGAUAUGACACAGAACACCGAUAGCGAAGGCAGCUUACUAGACCUGGAUUGACGCUCAUGGACGAAAGCGUGGGGAGCGAACAGGAUUAGAAACCCCGGUAGUCC
rnacentral:rRNA from 1 species